rnacentral:rRNA from 1 species
AACGCACCUUGCGCCCCUUGGCUAUUCCGAGGGGCAUGCCUGUUUGAGUAUCAUGAACACCUCAACUCUCGUGGUUUGCCAUGAUGAGCUUGGAUUUUGGGGGUUUUGCUGGCCUGUGGUCAGCUCCUCUCAAAUGGAUCAGCUUACCAGUGUUUGGUGGCGUCACAGGUGUGAUAACUAUCUACGCUUGUGGUUGUCUGCUGAGUGACCUUUGGUGACAGAGGUUUGCUGGAGCUUAUAAAUGUCUUUCCUAGUGAAGACAGCUUUUUGACCGUUCGAUCUCAAAUCAGGUAGGACUACCCGCUGAACUUAA